CCUACGGGUGGCAGCAGUAGGGAAUCUUCCACAAUGGUCGAAAGCCUGAUGGAGCAACGCCGCGUGGGUGUAGAAGGUCUUCGGAUCGUAAAACCCUGUUGUUAGAGAAGAAAGUGCGUGAGAGUAACUGUUCACGUUUCGACGGGAUCUAACCAGAAAGCCACGGCUAACUACGUGCCAGCAGCCGAGGUAAUACGUAGGUGGCAAGCGUUAUCCGGAUUUAUUGGGCGUAAAGGGAACGCAGGCGGUCUUUUAAGUCUGAUGUGAAAGCCUUCGGCUUAACCGGAGUAGUGCAUUGGAAACUGGGAGACUUGAGUGCAGAAGAGGAGAGUGGAACGCCAUGUGUAGCGGUGGAAUGCGUAGAUAUUAGGAGGAACACCAGUGGCGAAGGCGAUUUGCUGGACUGUAACUGACACUGAGGCACGAAAGCGUGGGGAGCAAACAGGAUUAGAUACCCCAGUAGUC
rnacentral:rRNA from 1 species